GACGAACGCUGGCGGCGUGCUUAACACAUGCAAGUCGAACGGAAAGGCCCUGCUUUUGUGGGGUGCUCGAGUGGCGAACGGGUGAGUAACACGUGAGUAACCUGCCCUUGACUUUGGGAUAACUUCAGGAAACUGGGGCUAAUACCGGAUAGGAGCUCCUGCUGCAUGGUGGGGGUUGGAAAGUUUCGGCGGUUGGGGAUGGACUCGCGGCUUAUCAGCUUGUUGGUGGGGUAGUGGCUUACCAAGGCUUUGACGGGUAGCCGGCCUGAGAGGGUGACCGGCCACAUUGGGAGUGAGAUACGGCCCAGACACCUACGGGAGGGAGGAGUGGGGAAUAUUGCACAAUGGGCGGAAGCAUGAUGGAGCAACGCCGCGUGCGGGAUGACGGACUUCGGGUUGUAAACCGCUUUCGCCUGUGAGGAAGCGUGAGUGACGGUAAUGGGGAAAGAAGCACCGGCUAACUACGU
rnacentral:rRNA from 1 species